UACAGAGGGUGCAAGCGUUAAUCGGAAUUACUGGGCGUAAAGCGCAUGUAGGUGGGUAUUUAAGUCGGAUGUGAAAUCCCCGGGCUCAACCUGGGAAUCGCAUUCGAUACUGGAUAUCUAGAGUAUGGUAGAGGGUAGUGGAAUUUCCGGUGUAGCGGUGAAAUGCGUAGAUAUCGGAAAGAACAUCAGUGGCGAAGGCGGCUACCUGGAUUAAUACUGACACUUAAGUGCGAAAGCGUGGGGAGCAAACAGG
rnacentral:rRNA from 1 species